UAGGGAAUAUUGGACAAUGGGUGAGAGCCUGAUCCAGCCAUGUCGCGUGCAGGAAGAAGGCGUUAUGCGUUGUAAACUGCUUUUGCCAGGGGAUAAAAAGACCGUGCGCGGUUAAUUGAAGGUACCUGGUGAAUAAGCCACGGCUAACUACGUGCCAGCAGCCGCGGUAAUACGUAGGUGGCAAGCGUUGUCCGGAUUUAUUGGGUUUAAAGGGUGCGUAGGUGGCCCUGUAAGUCAGUGGUGAAAUAUCUCAGCUUAACUGAGAGGGUGCCAUUGAUACUGCAGGGCUUGAGUACAGAUGAGGUAGGCGGAAUUGACGGUGUAGCGGUGAAAUGCAUAGAUAUCGUCAAGAACACCGAUAGCGAAGGCAGCUUACCAAGCUGUAACUGACACUGAGGCACGAAAGUGUGGGGAUCAAACAGGAUUAGAUACCCUGGUAGUCCCUGAGCGGGCUGGCAAGGCGCAU
rnacentral:rRNA from 1 species